rnacentral:lncRNA from 1 species
AUAUUAUAUAUAUUUUUUAUUUCAUACUUUCUAGGAUUCCUCAGCAUCUUCUGGAUGUUCUCCAAAUACUCUGUACUUUCCCAGGACUGCCAACAGACUGCACUGAGCUGCCAAAAUGAGUAUAUAUUUCAAGACACCACUUGGAGUCAGAGAGUGAAUGAAGGACAGGACAUGGGAGCUGGGAACUACCCCCAAGCACCUCUGACUGAGGCUGAUCACACAACGCAGAACUCUGAAUAUAGAGAAAGCAAAGAUAAGAAAGCCAAGAAUGCCCCCACUGCUAGGCUUCUCCUUGACUGGAGUUUUACAAAAAGGCUGCAGAGCAUGCCAGAGAUGUCUGUGCUGUCCUGA